rnacentral:rRNA from 1 species
GCAUAUCAAUAAGCGGAGGAAAAGAAAAUAACAAUGAUUCCCCUAGUAACUGCGAGUGAAGAGGGACAAGCUCAAAUUUUAAAUCUAUCGGGUUUUACCUGAUCGAGUUGUAAUUUGAAGAAGUGUUUUCUGCGUAUUUGGUCAGCCUAAGUCCUAUUGAAUGAGGCAUCAUGGAGGGUGAUAAUCCCGUCCGGUUGAUCAUUUGCGUUUUACGAUACGCUUUCUAAGAGUCAAGUUGUUUGGGAUUGCAGCUUAAAAUGGGAGGUAAAUUUCUCCUAAGGCUAAAUAACGGCGAGAGACCGAUAGCGAACAAGUACCGUGAGGGAAAGAUGAAAAGAACUUUGAAAAGAGAGUUAAACAGUACGUGAAAUUGUUGAAAGGGAAACGAUUGAAGCCAGUCGUACCUUCGGGUAAUCAGCCUUUCGGGUGCGAUUAUGUGGAGUGUGAGGAGCUUAAACACCUUCAUGUUUUGCAUAUUCGUACUCUUGGGUGUACUUGCCCGUGUGGUUGGUUAACAUCAAUUUUGGUGGUCAUAAAAUGACUGGAGGAAUGUAGCUUCGAUCUCGUAUUGAAGUGUUAUAGCCUUCGGUAGAUGUGAUGAUCGAGAUUGAGGAUUGCAACGGAUACCCUUUGGGGCUACCUGUCUGAUCUCUGAUCGUUGCUUUGGUGCCGAAAGCUUGCUUACGGUUAUCAAAGUCGAUGGUCAAUAGGUUAGAAUGGGUUAAAUUUGUUAAGGAUGUUGACGUAAUGGCUUUAAACGAC